CAAGAGCGUAUAUUAAAGUUGCUGCGGUUAAAAAGCUCGUAGUGGGAUUUCAGUCUAGGAAGGUUAACUCGCCGGAAAGUUGUACGUUGAUUUUCCUCAGACUUCGUCAAAAACUCGUGCUGCACUUAACUGUGUGGUACGAUGUUCUGACCUUUUUACCUUGAGGAAAGUAAAGUGUUGCAGGCAGGUUACCCAGCUUGGAUACAAUGGCAUGGAAUAAUGAAAUGGAUCUCGGUUCGAUUUCGUUGGUUCUAGAGCUGAGGUGAUGAUCAAUAGGAAGAGGCGAAGGUAUUCGUAUUUGAGAGUGAGGAGUGAAAUCCGAUGAUCCCUUAAAAACGGUCCGAGGCGAAAGCACUUGUCAGGGAUGCUUUCAUUGA
rnacentral:rRNA from 1 species